CUCAAGAUGAUCCAUGAGUUUCUCUUGUCCUUCAUUCCACCGGAGUCUGUCUCAUAUCUAAUCAGAUUUCAGUGGAGUGAAGCUUAAGAGGCAUGGAGUUGA
rnacentral:pre_miRNA from 12 species